rnacentral:rRNA from 1 species
GUUCAUGGCCAUACCACCUUGAACACACCUGAUCUCAGAAGCUAAGCAGGGUCAGGCCUGGUUAGUACUUGGAUGGGAGAAGUGAGUCUGGCUGAAGCCUACAUGCCAAGGUCA